rnacentral:misc_RNA from 1 species
ACCGCGUUCGCCUAUGAUUCAGUCUGCUUCAACCGCUCGUACCUAUCGUGUGUAUGUCACGCAUCGCUCGCGCUUUUCUACACAGACAACGCUUCUACGUGUACGUGCAUACAUAUGUAUACACACUGAUUCCGUGACUGCUUCGUGACGAUAAACUUUAGAGCCACUUCUUCAGUCAAGCGCAGUCGCUCGAAUACGGUGGAUGUGUUUACGCGUUCGCGCUUCCUCACAGUAGAUCCGGCGUGUUAAAAUAAAACCAUCGCAAACGUGAUCGAUCCUGUCGAACUCCUUUAUCGCGCCACGUGUUCACUGACAUCCACGCAUCUCGACACUUUGCCGUGCUCUUCUCGAGGUAAUUCGUGUCGACGUCGUUGAUGAUUCGAAACGCGCGCUAACGCCAGGUCGACCACGUGAUACGUCGUCGUAUCGACCACCGGACAGUUGUCGCGCGAUUGGCUCGGUUAGAUCACGUGGUAUCGCGCAACGUCAGUUUAGACAACUGUCUGCUCGCAGUAGCAGGUACUUUAGCGUACUUGUCAACGUACUCUCUACAGGAACAAAGAACCUCGCUCUCUCGUUCGGGUCGUCCGGUGUCAUUUUCUGCGCUGCUGCGAAAUCAUCGAGAUUAACUCUUUUUGAGCACGUCGCGUCUUGAUUUUGGACGCGAUCGAUAGAAAUUCGCGUGAACGACACACACUGUCAAGUGUGCACGCAGCCCGGCGAACGCUUUUGACAGAUCGCUGUCGCGGUGACAGUGUCAUCGGUGUUUCAUCAUUCGAAUUUCUUCGUUCGUCAGUCAGUGUCAUCAGGACUGCAGGGCAGCGCGGGAUCGAUUUCGUGGCGUUAGAAAAGUUUGAUAAGUACGGAAUAAGUCUCUUGGCAAAUUUUUGUACCUCUCUCUCUCUCUCUCUCUUCUCUUCUCUUCUCUUCUCUCUUCUCUUCUCUCUUCUCUCUUGUGAGAGAACGAGAGAGAGAUAUCUUUGGACUAAAGACAGCCGCAAGUGUGCCGCAAGUUUUACGUUUCUUUCGCUGCGCCGCGAAUUUCGAACAACACUACUGGUUGUGUUCUCUCGUCGGUCAAGUUCCGCGGCCUGUGGUGCGCGGAUUUAGGACAUGUACAGUAUGAACUAUAUCGCCAAGAUCAUCAGCAACUUCCGUUUGUUCUACAACGAGAUCAACGCUGCGACUCUGACUGGUGCAAUCGACGUCAUCGUCGUCGAACAGCCGGACGGCUCCUUCACGUGCUCGCCCUUCCAUGUUCGCUUCGGCAAGCUCGGUGUACUCCGCUCCAGGGCGAAAGUGGUGGAUAUUGAGAUAAAUGGAGAACCCAGGGAAAUUCAUAUGAAACUCGGAGAUUCCGGUGAGGCUUUCUUUGUGGAAGAAGUUAGUUCAAAUGGAUCUCCAACGGAUACGGAAAUUCCACCACAUUUGGCCUGUUCACCCAUACCUGAUGAUAAUUGUUUUCCACCGCAAAAAUUUAAUCUUUUGUCGGAUUUGCCUCCGGAACAAAGAGAAAAAAUUCUUAUAGAUUCGGUCCUUUCCAUAGAACGCGAGAAAUGGGAGCAGAUGUCCGCCUUGCCACCCGAUCAACGGGAGAAGUUUUUGAUAGAACAGUUCUCAGAUCUUCCUGCGGAACAUCGUGAGAAGUGGCUUCAGAUUGCUUCAUUGACCGUGGAAGAGCGAGACCAGAUGUUCAAGGAAAGUUUUGGCACUAUUUCUCCAGAGCAAAAGCAGCAGAUGAUCAGAGAACAAUAUUCCGCUUUGAAAACAGAGGAUAAAGAGAAAUUGUUCAAGGAGAAUUUUCCGGAACUUUCGGUCGAGCAAAGACAAAACUUUGAGAAGGCUUUACUGAGCGACUGGAAAGAAAAAGAGGAAAAAUGGGAAGAAAAAGAGGAAAAAUGGGAAGGAAAAGAUGACAAUUCUAAAAAUGAAGAUGAGGAGAUAUUUGAUAUGGAUGCCAUCAAUGACGAACAGCCAAAGUCAGCAAUAUCGUGUCCGAAAUCUUUCGUAGCUGUUACGUCAUCUGAGAGAAUUCGUAAAAUUAGUGUAGUGAAGAAUGAUUUUAAGCCGAUCACAGAUGAUCCUCAAAGUAGUAGUAAGGAAAAAUCUAGUGACGACUCAACUUCAUCUUUAAAUAAAAAGAAGGAAGAGAAUAUUGAAGAGACAAAGAGUAACAAUUCGACCAAGAGGAAACGCAAGAGGAAGAGUAUUAUGAAGAAGAAAGGCUCGCAAAGAAAAACUAGCAAUGGUAGCAGUAGCCAGACAGAAAUGAGCGAGACUGAUGGAAUUUUUGCCGAGGAAUCAAUCAGUGAAACAAUGUUGAAGGGACCGAGUCCAAUCAUAGAAGUUGAAAGAAAGAAUGCCGCUGCAGAACCCUUGACAUCCUCUCAAGAUGUAAUUGAAAAACGCCCUGAAACCGAUUUUCACUUCUUCAGUGACUCAGAAGUUACCAAGAACAAAGACUCCAGACCAUGUUCACCCGUUCAGUCGGACACGGAAUUUGAAGUACGUAAAAUUAUACAAGAUGGCAGUGAGAGAGAGGACGACAAGAGUCACCAGCAGAGUUGGAGAUGGGGUGAAUUGCCCAGUCCACCUCCGGAGUCAGCGCAUUUGUCUCAUAGAAAUUCAUUGAAUUCUUCGACGAUAGCCAAUCAGCCGAAUAAAGAUGCACAAAGAUCUAUGCUCAGUGGCAUGUUCUCCUUUAUGAAGAAGACUUCUCGCGUAAGACACAAUCCGGAAUCAGAAGGAAUUUACCUUAGCGAUCUUAAUGCCGACGAAUUGGACCCUGAAGUUGCGGCUCUGUACUUUCCCUCCUCGCAUCGAGGCCCGACGGUGGUUAAAGAUAGAAAAACAAUGGAUGAAGAAGAUACAGAGUCGGGUAACGGACCGAGUCUACCUCAAAGCCCCAACAGUGUUGAGGGAGCCAUUGGUGGACCAAAGUCGCUGGACAGCGAUUUCGAGGAACCAAAGCAUUCUAUUUUCGAUCAUAGCAUAGAAAUAGGUAUGUCCCUAUGUGGCGGAUUGGACACUGAGAAUGGGCCAUCCAAAGAGGCUUUCGACGAAAACUUACUUCAUUUCGAGGACGUUUGCGCCGAUCCAAAACUGUACGAGAAUCCGAACCUGGUUAUCAAGAUCAAUGGGAAAUUUUACAAUUGGACUACAGCCUGUCCAAUAGUGUUGACUUACGUCGUUUUUCAAAGAUACUUACCGCAAAGCGCGAUUGAAAGUCUAUACAUGUCGUUACCGGUGCUUGAGGAUAAGAAGCAACAGAGUAGCAGCAAGUCUGAAACUCGUAGCGGAUAUAGUUCAUGGUUCUCUUGGAGACGUUCUACGCAACCACCCAAAAAACCAAGUGAUCAGAUCGAUGGAAUUGUCGUGCAGAUGUCGGAACAAUCUUUGGAAGCUAAGGUUGUAACAAAUGAAGAAAUACUAGCUAACACAGAAGCAAAGACUGAGCAAAAUACAGAUUUGUCAAAUUCAAGCGAUGCGAUAGAAGCCUGUUCGAGAUUUACAACCGCAUCUAGCGAAACUACGCUCACAAUAACCGAGAAAGAGCAUGAGGGAGAAGGAGAAGGAUAUAGCGGCGGUGAGGAUUCCGACAGUAAUCAUAAUGAACCAGCGGGCAUUAAAAUACCGAUGGAAAGAAGACCGUACUAUGAGUCUACGGAAAAGUAUCGUAAAACUCUACGAUUGUCAUCCGAGCAGAUAGCGAGCCUCGAUUUGAAGGAUGGCGCCAACGAAGUGGUCUUUAGUGUAACCACAGCUUAUCAGGGCACGAAACGCUGCAAGUGUCACAUUUAUAAAUGGAAGUGGGACGAUAAGAUCGUUAUCUCCGAUAUCGAUGGUACUAUCACGAAAUCGGAUGUGCUGGGUCACAUUCUGCCGAUAGUAGGCAAAGAUUGGGCCCAAUCAGGGGUUGCUCAACUUUUCACGAAGAUUAAGAACAACGGCUAUAAGCUACUGUAUCUUUCGGCGAGAGCAAUUGGACAGGCUGGAGGUACUCGGGAAUAUUUGAGGAAUUUGAAACAAGGAGAUUUGACGCUUCCGGAAGGUCCGUUACUUUUGAAUCCUACGAGCUUGAUUUUGGCGUUUCAUCGCGAGGUGAUAGAGAAGAAGCCGGAAGAGUUCAAGAUAUCCUGUCUGAAAGAUAUUCAAGCGUUAUUUCCCGAGGGAUCUGAGCCAUUUUACGCAGGAUAUGGCAAUCGAAUAAACGAUGUAUGGGCGUAUCGAGCAGUAGGCAUUCCUAUAAUGCGGAUUUUUACAAUAAACCAUCGAGGAGAAUUGAAGCAUGAAUUGACGCAAACAUUCCAAUCAUCUUAUGCGCGUCAGUGCAAUAUCAUCAAUGACUUGUUCCCGCCACAACGUAUGCCAAACGUCUACUGAUAGCGGCACAACCAUAACUUUUAUCAGACUUGUAUUAGUUAAAUUGAAUUGCAAUAACCAUUUGAUUGCAGUGUCAUAUAACAAUGUUAAUGGUAUCCGGCCACGUUUAACGUGUAUUGGUUGCAUUAUGCUUGGAAUAUUACCAUGCAUAAUGCAAUCUCUUUAUUUUUUGGCAAUGGACAUAGUACAAAGUUAAAAUGCACAUUUUCAUGUAGUGUAAGAACGUACAAGUGAUAGGAUGAGCUCAGGAAAAGUUAUUUUUAAUUAUGAACAAUUAAACCGGAUACGUGGGUCGAAUAUAAACGUAAUUAGAUACUUUAGUAUCAUUGUAUUAUUUUGGGAUAUAUUUGGUUGUGCGACAACUCCUACCUAUCUUCUUAUGAUUUAUAGGGUAUUCGAAUAUGAGUUUCAUCGUCGACCAUGUGUUCCCGGCAUGGCGAGAGGACGCAGCCGAUGAGUUCAGCAAUUUUGCGUAUUGG